rnacentral:rRNA from 1 species
GACGAACGCUGGCGGCGUGCUUAACACAUGCAAGUCGAACGGAAAGGCCCUGCUUUUGUGGGGUGCUCGAGUGGCGAACGGGUGAGUAACACGUGAGUAACCUGCCCUUGACUUUGGGAUAACUUCAGGAAACUGGGGCUAAUACCGGAUAGGAGCUCCUGCUGCAUGGUGGGGGUUGGAAAGUUUCGGCGGUUGGGGAUGGGUUCGCGGCUUAUCAGCUUGUUGGUGGGGUAGUGGCUUACCAAGGCUUUGACGGGUAGCCGGCCUGAGAGGGUGACCGGCCACAUUGGGACUGAGAUACGGCCCAGACUCCUACGGGAGGCAGCAGUGGGGAAUAUUGCACAAUGGGCGGAAGCCUGAUGCAGCAACGCCGCGUGCGGGAUGACGGCCUUCGGGUUGUAAACCGCUUUCGCCUGUGACGAAGCGUGAGUGACGGUAAUGGGUAAAGAAGCACCGGCUAACUACGUG